UAUCUAUCAACUGGUCUUCCAACCUUCAAACUUCAGGUAUCAAUACUUAUAUGUUUCUUUUUUCUUUGUUAUUAUUAUGUUUUCAUAUUCAACCAUUCUCACUGCUAGUGAUAGGAAUAUGAUUUGGAAUGCAUGCAUGCGAGAAUGUGAGGGUUAUUUGAAUAUAGCAGAUUUUGACGGAAUUGUUAGAGAAGUUUACGACGAAAUCCCUUCACCCACUAGUAACGUUGAUUUGGA
rnacentral:lncRNA from 1 species